rnacentral:snRNA from 1 species
GGGAACCACUUCGGUGCUCAUCCGGUAAAAAUUGGAACGAUACGGAGAAAUUAGCAUGGCCUCUGCGCAACGCUGACCCGCAUAAAUCGAGAAGAAUCGGCACUUUUU